GAUGAACGCUAGCUACAGGCUUAACACAUGCAAGUCGAGGGGAAACGGCAUUAAGUGCUUGCACUUUUUGGACGUCGACCGGCGCACGGGUGAGUAACGCGUAUCCAACCUUCCCAUGACUAAGGGAUAACCUGCCGAAAGGCAGACUAAUACCUUAUGGUCUUCACUGACGGCAUCAGAUGUGAAGUAAAGAUUUAUCGGUUAUGGAUGGGGAUGCGUCUGAUUAGCUUGUUGGCGGGGUAACGGCCCACCAAGGCAACGAUCAGUAGGGGUUCUGAGAGGAAGGUCCCCCACAUUGGAACUGAGACACGGUCCAAACUCCUACGGGAGGCAGCAGUGAGGAAUAUUGGUCAAUGGGCGAGAGCCUGAACCAGCCAAGUAGCGUGCAGGAUGACGGCCCUAUGGGUUGUAAACUGCUUUUGUAUGGGGAUAAAGUCAAUCACGUGU
rnacentral:rRNA from 1 species